rnacentral:tRNA from 1 species
GCGCCCGUAGCUCAGCUGGUUAGAGCGCUGUCCUGUCACGACAGAGGUCGCCGGUUCGAGUCCGGUCGGGCGCG